rnacentral:rRNA from 1 species
GACGAACGCUGGCGGCGUGCUUAACACAUGCAAGUCGAACGGAAAGGCCCUGCUUUUGUGGGGUGCUCGAGUGGCGAACGGGUGAGUAACACGUGAGUAACCUGCCCUUGACUUUGGGAUAACUUCAGGAAACUGGGGCUAAUACCGGAUAGGAGCUCCUGCUGCAUGGUGGGGGUUGGAAAGUUUCGGCGGUUGGGGAUGGACUCGCGGCUUAUCAGCUUGUUGGUGGGGUAGUGGCUUACCAAGGCUUUGACGGGUAGCCGGCCUGAGAGGGUGACCGGCCACAUUGGGACUGCGAUACGGCCCAGACUCCUACGGGAGGCAGCAGUGGGGAAUAUUGCACGAUGGGCGGAAGCCUGAUGCAGCGACGCCGCGUGCUGGAUGACGGCCUUCGGGUUGUAAACCGCUUUCGCCUGUAACGAAGCGUGAGUGACGGUAAUGGGUAAAGAAGCACCGGCUAACUACGUG